rnacentral:rRNA from 1 species
GACGAACGCUGGCGGCGUGCUUAACACAUGCAAGUCGAACGGAAAGGCCCUGCGUUUGUUGGGUGCUCGAUUGGCGAACGGGGGAGUAACACGUGAGUAACCUGCCCUUGACUUUGUGAUAACUUCAGGAAACUGGGGCGAAUACCGGGUAUGAUCUCCUGAUGCAUGGUGGGGGUUGGAGAGUGUCGGCGGUGGGGGAUGGACUCGCUGCUUAUGAGCUUGUUGGUGGGGUAGGUGCUUACCAAGGCUUUGACGGGUAGCCGGCCUGGGAGGGUGACCGGCCACAUUGGGACUGAGAUAGGGCGCAGACUCCUACGGGAGGCAGCAGUGGGGAAUAUUGCACAAUGGGCGGACGCCUGAUGCAGCAACGCCGCGUGCGGGAUGACGGCCUUCGGGUUGUAAACCGAUUUCGACUGUGACGAAGCGUGCGUGACGGUAAUGGGUAAAGAAGCACCGGCUAACUACGUG